ACAUGGAUAGCUCAAUUGGUUAGAGUGUGGUGCCGACAACACCAAGGUUGCAGGUUCGAUCCUUUGUGGA